rnacentral:rRNA from 1 species
UGGGGAAUAUUGGACAAUGGGCGCAAGCCUGAUCCAGCCAUGCCGCGUGUGUGAAGAAGGCCUUCGGGUUGUAAACUGCUUUUGUACGGAACGAAAAGACUCUGGUUAAUACCUGGGGUCCAUGACGGUACCGUAAGAAUAAGCACCGGCUAACUACGUGCCAGCAGCCGCGGUAAUACGUAGGGUGCGAGCGUUAAUCGGAAUUACUGGGCGUAAAGCGUGCGCAGGCGGUUAUAUAAGACAGAUGUGAAAUCCCCGGGCUCAACCUGGGAACUGCAUUUGUGACUGUAUAGCUAGAGUACGGCAGAGGGGGAUGGAAUUCCGCGUGUAGCAGUGAAAUGCGUAGAUAUGCGGAGGAACACCGAUGGCGAAGGCAAUCCCCUGGGCCUGUACUGACGCUCAUGCACGAAAGCGUGGGGAGCAAACAGGAUUAGAUACCCAAGUAGUCCCUGAGCGGGCUGGCAAGGCGCAU